CUUUCCUUCGACUCAUUCGUUCUCCAAGCACUGUACUGUACGGUCUAAGGGAGAAAACAUUUUCAAAAAUAAAGAAAAAAUUAAAUAUCCAACAUUUGGCUACCUUUUGUAAAUGUAUUUAAAAGAUGUUUUGGCUAACUCGAGGUCUAGUUGUUUUUACUGAACUUCAAACGGCUUUUGAAAGGCAAUCCAUCAGAAUACCAUCUCUGGUUAAUUUACAAAAAUUCAGUAAGGACAUCCAGACCUCUAGAAAGCCCAAUCAUCACAUAAAGUUGUGAAAUAUAUAUCAAAAGUGAAACCAGGAUCGAACUUCGGAGGCAUGGAUACCUUUUGCUCGAUGGACUGAACAGAAAAUUAUGCUGUACUACCAGAGAAGCCUGUGCUGACCCUACCACCCAACUUUUAGGUCAUACUGAAGUCAGAGGAGUACAGCGUGUCACGUAUGUAUUUAAUAUAGUUUUCAAUGUUCUGUUAGAUCGGAGGAAUUGAAUAUCGGCUAACUAUCUGGGAUAUUACGGAAUUAAAUGAAUUUCCAUGGGAUUUUAAUACAUAUUGAAUGGGCAAGAAUAAACAGAAGUAUGAGUGUACAGGGAUACAGUA